rnacentral:rRNA from 1 species
GUUUACUAAGUGGUAGGAGAGCGUUCUAUUUGCGUCGAAGGUAUACCGGUAAGGAGUGCUGGAGCGAAUAGAAGUGAGCAUGCAGGCAUGAGUAGCGAUAAUUAAUGUGAGAAUCAUUAACGCCGUAAACCCAAGGUUUCCUACGCGAUGCUCGUCAUCGUAGGGUUAGUCGGGUCCUAAGUCGAGUCCGAAAGGGGUAGACGAUGGCAAAUUGGUUAAUAUUCCAAUACCAACAUUAGUGUGCGAUGGAAGGACGCUUAGGGCUAAGGGGGCUAGCGGAUGGAAGUGCUAGUCUAAGGUCGUAGGAGGUUAUACAGGCAAAUCCGUAUAACAAUACUCCGAGAACUGAAAGGCUUUUUGAAGUCUUCGGAUGGAUAGAAGAACCCCUGAUGCCGUCGAGCCAAGAAAAGUUUCUAAGUUUAGCUAAUGUUGCCCGUACCGUAAACCGACACAGGUGGGUGGGAUGAGUAUUCUAAGGCGCGUGGAAGAACUCUCUUUAAGGAACUCUGCAAAAUAGCACCGUAUCUUCGGUAUAAGGUGUGGUUAGCUUCGUACUAGGAUUUACUCCGAAAGCGAAGAAACUUACAACAAAGAGUCCCUCCCGACUGUUUACCAAAAACACAGCACUCUGCUAACUCGUAAGAGGAUGUAUAGGGUGUGACGCCUGCCCGGUGCUCGAAGGUUAAUUGAUGGGGUUAGCAUUAGCGAAGCUCUUGAUCGAAGCCCGAGUAAACGGCGGCCGUAACUAUAACGGUCCUAAGGUAGCGAAAUUCCUUGUCGGUUAAAUACCGACCUGCAUGAAUGGCGUAACGAGAUGGGAGCUGUCUCAAAGAGGGAUCCAGUGAAAUUGUAGUGGAGGUGAAAAUUCCUCCUACCCGCGGCAAGACGGAAAGACCCCGUGGACCUUUACUACAGCUUGACACUGCUACUUGGAUAAGAAUGUGCAGGAUAGGUGGGAGGCUUUGAGUAUAUGACGCCAGUUGUAUAUGAGCCAUUGUUGAGAUACCACUCUUUCUUAUUUGGGUAGCUAACCAGCUUGAGUUAUCCUCAAGUGGGACAAUGUCUGGUGGGUAGUUUGACUGGGGCGGUCGCCUCCCAAAUAAUAACGGAGGCUUACAAAGGUUGGCUCAGAACGGUUGGAAAUCGUUCGUAGAGUAUAAAGGUAUAAGCCAGCUUAACUGCAAGACAUACAAGUCAAGCAGAGACGAAAGUCGGUCUUAGUGAUCCGGUGGUUCUGUGUGGAAGGGCCAUCGCUCAAAGGAUAAAAGGUACCCCGGGGAUAACAGGCUGAUCUCCCCCAAGAGCUCACAUCGACGGGGAGGUUUGGCACCUCGAUGUCGGCUCAUCGCAUCCUGGGGCUGGAGCAGGUCCCAAGGGUAUGGCUGUUCGCCAUUUAAAGCGGUACGCGAGCUGGGUUCAGAACGUCGUGAGACAGUUC